rnacentral:rRNA from 1 species
GUGUCAGCAGCCGCGGUAAUACGGGGGUGGCAAGCGUUGUUCGGAAUUACUGGGCGUAAAGGGCGCGUAGGCGGCUUGACAAGUCAGAUGUGAAAGCCCCGGGCUUAACCCGGGAAUUGCAUCUGAAACUGCUUUGCUUGAGUCCUGGAGGGGGUAGCGGAAUUCCCAGUGUAGCGGUGAAAUGCGUAGAUAUUGGGAGGAACACCUGCGGCGAAGGCGGCUACCUGGACAGUGACUGACGCUGAGGCGCGAAAGCUAGGGGAGCAAACGGGAUUAGAAACCCCGGUAGUCC